rnacentral:rRNA from 1 species
GAUGAACGCUGGCGGCGUGCCUAAUACAUGCCAGUCGAGCGAACGGACGAGAAGCUUGCUUCUCUGAUGUUAGCGGCGGACGGGUGAGUAACACGUGGAUAACCUACCUAUAAGACUGGGAUAACUUCGGGAAACCGGAGCUAAUACCGGAUAAUAUUAUGAACCGCAUGGUUCAAAAGUGAAAGACGGUCUUGCUGUCACUUAUAGAUGGAUCCGCGCUGCAUUAGCUAGUUGGUAAGGUAACGGCUUACCAAGGCAACGAUGCAUAGCCGACCUGAGAGGGUGAUCGGCCACACUGGAACUGAGACACGGUCCAGACUCCUACGGGAGGCAGCAGUAGGGAAUCUUCCGCAAUGGGCGAAAGCCUGACGGAGCAACGCCGCGUGAGUGAUGAAGGUCUUCGGAUCGUAAAACUCUGUUAUUAGGGAAGAACAUAUGUGUAAGUAACUGUGCACAUCUUGACGGUACCUAAUCAGAAAGCCACGGCUAACUACGU